AACAAACGCUGGCGGCGUGCCUAAUACAUGCAAGUCGAACGGGGAAAGCUUUCGGGUGAGUACUAGUGGCGCACGGGUGAGUAACGCGUGGAUAAUCUGCCUUAGAGUGGGGGAUAACUAGUCGAAAGAUUAGCUAAUACCGCAUAAGACCACAAGAACUGCGGUUCAAGAGGUCAAAGGUUUUUCGCUCUAAGAUGAGUCCGCGUAAGAUUAGCUAGUUGGUGAGGUAACGGCUCACCAAGGCAACGAUCUUUAACUGGUCUGAGAGGAUGAUCAGUCACACUGGAACUGAGACACGGGCCAGACUCCUACGGGAGGCAGCAGUAGGGAAUAUUGCACAAUGGAGGAAACUCUGAUGCAGCGAUGCCGCGUGAGUGAUGAAGGCCUUCGGGUCGUAAAGCUCUGUCGCAGGGGAAUAACACAAUGAAUGUACCCUGUAAGAAAGGAUCGGCUAACUUCGUGCCAGCCGCCGCCGUAAAAC
rnacentral:rRNA from 1 species